GGGCGAUUGGUCUAGUGGUAUGACGCUGUCUUAGCAUGACAGAGGUCCCGGUUUCGAUUACCGGAUUGUCCA
rfam:Talaromyces islandicus isolate WF-38-12 genome assembly, contig: WF-38-12_scaffold00006